AUAUUUUUGAUCUUGGCUCAGGACGAACGCGGGCGGGCGUGCCUAAUACAUGCAAGUCGAGCGGACAGAUGGGAGCUUGCUCCCUGAUGUUAGCGGCGGACGGGUGAGUAACACGUGGGUAACCUGCCUGUAAGACUGGGAUAACUCCGGGAAACCGGGGCUAAUACCGGAUGGUUGUUUGAACCGCAUGGUUCAAACAUAAAAGGUGGCUUCGGCUACCACUUACAGAUGGACCCGCGGCGCAUUAGCUAGUUGGUGAGGUAACGGCUCACCAAGGCAACGAUGCGUAGCCGACCUGAGAGGGUGAUCGGCCACACUGGGACUGAGACACGGCCCAGACUCCUACGGGAGGCAGCAGUAGGGAAUCUUYGCAAUGGACGAAAGUCUGACGGAGCAACGCCGCGUGAGUGAUGAAGGUUUUCGGAUCGUAAAGCUCUGUUGUUAGGGAAGAACAAGUACCGUUCGAAUAGGGCGGUACCUUGACGUACCUAACCAGAAACCAGGCAACUCCAGCAGCCGCGGUAAUACGUAGGUGGCAAGCGUUGUCCGGAAUUAUUGGGCGUAAAGGGCUCGCAGGCGGUUUCUUAAGUCUGAUGUGAAAGCCCCCGGCUCAACCGGGGAGGGUCAUUGGAAACUGGGGAACUUGAGUGCAGAAGAGGAGAGUGGAAUUCCACGUGUAGCGGUGAAAUGCGUAGAGAUGUGGAGGAACACCAGUGGCGAAGGCGACUCUCUGGUCUGUAACUGACGCUGAGGAGCGAAAGCGUGGGGAGCGAACAGGAUUAGAUACCCUGGUAGUCCACGCCGUAAACGAUGAGUGCUAAGUGUUAGGGGGUUUCCGCCCCUUAGUGCUGCAGCUAACGCAUUAAGCACUCCGCCUGGGGAGUACGGUCGCAAGACUGAAACUCAAAGGAAUUGACGGGGGGCCCGCACAAGCGGUGGAGCAUGUGGUUUUAUUUCGAAGCAACGCGAGAACCUUACCAGGUCUUGACAUCCUCUGACAAUCCUAGAGAUAGGACGUCCCCUUCGGGGGCAGAGUGACAGGUGGUGCAUGGUUGUCGUCAGCUCGUGUCGUGAGAUGUUGGGUUAAGUCCCGCAACGAGCGCAACCCUUGAUCUUAGUUGCCAGCAUUCAGUUGGGCACUCUAAGGUGACUGCCGGUGACAAACCGGAGGAAGGUGGGGAUGACGUCAAAUCAUCAUGCCCCUUAUGACCUGGGCUACACACGUGCUACAAUGGACAGAACAAAGGGCAGCGAAACCGCGAGGUUAAGCCAAUCCCACAAAUCUGUUCUCAGUUCGGAUCGCAGUCUGCAACUCGACUGCGUGAAGCUGGAAUCGCUAGUAAUCGCGGAUCAGCAUGCCGCGGUGAAUACGUUCCCGGGGCCUUGUACACACCGCCCGUCACACCACGAGAGUUUGUAACACCCGAAGUCGGUGAGGUAACCUUUUAGGAGCCAGCCGCCGAAAGUGGGACAGAUGAUUGGGGGUGAAGUCGUAACAGGGUAGCCGUAUA
rnacentral:rRNA from 1 species